GCGGCUCCCGCAACUCUAGGCAGUCCAAUGCCCGGCCAAUCAGAGUGAGGAGGUGGAGGAGACUAGCCAAUCAGCGUGCAGGACAGGGGGAAGCAGGGCGUUGAGGAGUCUCGCGCGGAUGCCGCCGGCUCCCUAGCUUCUGUCAGGGCAGCCGGGCGUGCGGGGGCGGCUGAGGAGGCGGGAAGGCGGCAGUGGUUGAAGGGGCAGUUGCUGACUUGCGGGGAGGAGGUCCGAGGAGUCGAAAAGCCAUGGUGAUGGCAGCGAAGAAGGGCCCAGGGCCGGGUGGCGGGGUCGGCGGGGGAAAGGCGGAGGCGGAGGCGGCCUCGGAGGUGUGGUGUCGCCGGGUGCGGGAGCUGGGAGGCUGCAGCCAGGCCGGGAACCGCCACUGCUUCGAGUGCGCCCAGCGCGGGGUCACCUACGUGGAUAUCACCGUGGGCAGCUUCGUCUGCACCACCUGCUCCGGCCUCCUGAGAGGCCUGAACCCCCCUCAUCGUGUCAAGUCUAUCUCCAUGACAACUUUCACUGAGCCUGAAGUAGUGUUCCUGCAAUCUCGCGGAAACGAGGUCUGCAGGAAGAUUUGGCUGGGGCUUUUUGAUGCUCGCACAUCUUUAAUACCAGAUUCCAGGGAUCCUCAGAAGGUGAAGGAGUUUCUCCAGGAAAAAUAUGAGAAGAAGAGAUGGUAUGUCCCCCCAGACCAAGUCAAGGGGCCUGCUUAUACCAAAGGCGGCGCCUCUGCCCCCGUCCAGGGCUCCAUUCCAGAAGGGAAGCCACCGCGGACACUUCUGGGGGAUCCUGUGCCAGCUCUCUCAGCUGCCGCCUCCGCCUCCAGCCAGUCUGUCGGUCAGUCUCAGCCCCGGACGUCCCAGCCCCGGAGCUCUCAGCCACCUCCCACCUCCUCUGUCAAGAAGGCCAGUACUGACCUGCUGGCUGACAUCGGUGGAGACCCCUUUGCUGCUCCCCAGGUGGCACCAGCUUUUGCUGCGUUCCCAGCCUUUGGGGGCCAGACACCUUCCCAUGGGGGCUUUGCCAAUUUCGAUGCCUUUGGCAGUAGCCCCGGCUCUUCUGCAUUUGGAAGCAUUCCUCCAGCCGGCCAAGCCCCGUUCCAGGCCCAGCCAGCACCCCCAGCCAGUCGGAUGCUAACUGGAAGUCACAGCUUUGGGAGCAGCCAGGGGACUCCAUUUGGCGCCUCUCCUCUUGCACCUGCCAGUCAGCCCAGCAGCCUUGCAGAUGUGGGCAGCCUCCUGGGCCCCGGGGCGUCAGCUGGAGGCAUCCCUAGCAGCAUCUUCGGGAUGGCCGCCCAGGUCCCCACACUCCAGUCCACCACCACUGGCGGAGGCGGCAGCACGGGGCUUGCCUUUGGAGCCUUCAACCCUUUCACCACACCUGCUGCUCACGCCCAGCUGCCUUCCACCAACCCUUUCCAGCCCAAUGGCUUAGCCACAGGGCCCGGCUUUGGGAUGAGCGGUGCUGGGCCUGGCUUCCCCCAGACAGCACCACCCACCGGGGCUUUUGCCAGCCCCUUCCCACCACCGCUCUUCCCCCCACAGACUUCGAUGACUCAGCAGCAGAAUGGCUCUUCCUUUGGAGACUUGGGAUCUGCCAAGCUGGGGCAGAGACCACUGAGCCAGCCGGCCAGCAUCUCCACCAACCCCUUCUUGGGGUCUCCUAAACUGCGCGGUGCCUGGGCCCAGGACCUCCCUGCAGUCCCCCCACCUCCAUGCCUCCCAGUCACUCUGCCCGACUUGGACCCCAGCCAGCUCACUGACCAGGACAGGAUGACCAGUCAGAGAAGUUACGCUGGGUCAGCGUCCAACUGCAGGGCAGAAAAGUCAACAGUUCCCCAGGCACAGGCUGAGACCAGGACUGCAGCCGCCUUUCUCGGUGUGGAACAGCCCUAAGUGCUGCCUCCACUGGGGGCCCUCUCUCCAGGCAGGCUGAAAAGAGGAAAGAAUCCCUGGCCUGAUAGGAAAUGUCUAAAUGACUGGGCUGUGUUUCCCCUGCCCCAUCUCCCAGAGCUUCCCUGCAGGCCCUUCCUGGUGGUUACAAAUCUGAACCCACACCAUGAGGCUGGAAGGACUCACCCAGGCUGCCCCCCGGGCUUCUGGUCAAGUCCGCACGUUCCCCUGGCCGGCACGGUGACCGUACUCUGCAGGCAGCAGUCCUCUGGCUUGACCCCAAUUUUCAGUGGGUCACCAGUGGCUGCCUCUGUGGGUGAGGAAGCAGGAGCCAGUCCCCAGGACCUCCGUCAGGCUCUCUGUUCUCUCCACAUUGGAGCCUGGGAGCCAUGGUGGGGGAAGGAUGGAGGAAGGGGGUGGCGCUGUCCCUGCAUCCCCCUCCACAGAGAAGUGAGAACCUGGACGGAGGAGAGAGGGAAGCCUGGACUUAAUGCCCCAGCCUCCUCGCCGUAGGCGCCCCUUUGGUACUUCCAUAGGCACUCAGAAUGUGGAGAGCCCGUCCUACAGCUGCCUUGCACCUGGCAGCAGGAUGCAUAGGUGGACCCUCUCAGGUUGGGGGAAGUGCUGUCACCCAGCAGAGCUGAGGUUCUGUUACUUCCUGUCCCUGGGGAGCAACAUGGGUUACCAGGGCAACAGGCUAAAAUAAAUUUUGUCUGGGUAGAGCCAAGGGCAGUGCUGUUGCCAGGGCAACUGAUUAGGUCAGUUUGGCUCCGGGCUUUUCCUGGUCCCUGGCAGGCUAAAUCACCUGGCGUUGAUUCCCAACCCGCUCACCACCGCUGCUUGCCCGGGACCCAGGCGCCCAGAUCCCUGCUGCUUCCUGCUUAUCUUUACCCAGCACUUAGGGGUUCAAACAGGGUCUGGAGCUCGUCCCUGUGACAGCGGCUGUGAUUUCACAGGGACUGGUGUGCUGCAAGGUGGUCUGGUUGGUGGGGAGCAGAAAAUAGAUAUGGAGAGACCCUCCUGUGGGGAGCUUCAAAUCAAGCCUGCAGAGUAAGGCUCCAGGCCAGGAGCAUAGCAGGAUCUAUCACAUACCUGCCUCUCCCUGGCCAACACCCACCAAUGGUGGAGGCUGCUGCUGGCCCCCAUGCACCACCUGAGCUGCUGGCACCUCUCCGGCACGUUGGAGAGGCUUUGGCUGACCGGAGGCACCUGGAGCAGGCCCUGGGCACUGCUGCUUGCUGGCCAGAUGCCCAUCCUCAUGAUGCCAGCUAGUGCCCUGCAUCACACUUUCAAUACAGCCCUUAAAGGACAUUCAAGGAUCCUAGCCUCCCUGCACAUCGCACCACUGGCUUCUCCAGUAUUCCAGCUCAUAGACCAGCCCCUUCCUCCCAUGCCUGGGAGGUGGAGAAGCAUAGGUGGGAAGUCCAGCCCUCUCUGCUCAGCCUUUCCUGGCCCUUGGACUAGCCUGGGAAAAAGAACCAGAUGGCCUUGCUUCAGUACUCCUGGUAUAUCUCCUUCCUCACCUGAAGACUCUUCCCCAAAUACCAUCUUUAAUAGGGGCCAUAGUUGCCCUCUUCCCAAACCGUCAGCUCCCCCACUGUAGGUAUCCCACUUGCCACGACAACGAUAUCAUAAGGUCCUCUAAGGCCCCCAUCCAUGCGUCAACUGCCAGUUUGUCUCACAGAGUGUGCACUGACCAGCACCAUCGCUCCCAACGUGAGUGGGUGGUCCUUGCAUGGAUCAGAAGUGGGGUGUAAAACUAUCUGAAUCCCAACCUCAUUUCAAAUCUCUUGGGAUGCAAGGGGCAAAGAGUACCUUCACCAGUGCAGAGAGUCUGCACUUCUGUGAUCAGAGCCUUCAGGUGGCCUGGGCAGCAUUAUUUUCGAACAGUGGUGGUGAGGAGGGGCUGAGGGCAAUGGUGCAGCAAGAGGGAAGUGCGCCGAGAGAUGGUCUCUUCUUCCACAGGCUCCCCUUCAGUGGCCACUUGACUGGAACCCUGGUGGGUAUGGUCUGUGCACAGGGACCAACCCAAAAGUUAACUGAUCCCAAGACACCUCCUAUCGCCCCAACCCCGCAGAAAAACUGAAUCCCCAGCUCCUCCGAGAUCAGCAGAGACCAGUGCUCGGAGGCUCUGGCUUC